rnacentral:rRNA from 1 species
GGGUAACCGGCGAACGGGUGCGUAACACGUGAGCAAUCUGCCGUACACUGGGGGAUAGCCGGCCCAACGGCCGGGUAAUACCGCAUACGUUCCUUGACCGGCAUCGGUUGGGGAAGAAACCUCCGGGGGUGUACGAGGAGCUCGCGGCCUAUCAGGUAGUUGGUGGGGUCACGGCCUACCAAGCCAUUGACGGGUAGCUGGUCUGAGAGGAUGGCCAGCCACAUUGGGACUGAGAUACGGCCCAGACUCCUACGGGAGGCAGCAGUGGGGAAUAUUGCGCAAUGGCCGCAAGGCUGACGCAGCGACGCCGCGUGGGGGAUGAAGCAUUUCGGUGUGUAAACCCCUGUUGCUCGGGACGAACAGCUCUUUUCGAGGAGCCUGACGGUACCGGGUGAGGAAGCACCGGCUAACUCCGUGCCAGCAGCCGCGGUAAUACGGAGGGUGCGAGCGUUGUCCGGAA